rnacentral:rRNA from 1 species
UACAGGGGGGGCAAGCGUUGUUCGGAAUUACUGGGCGUAAAGGGCUUGUAGGUGGCCAACUAAGUCACACGUGAAAUCCCCAGGCUUAACCUGGGAACUGCGUGUGAUACUGGAUGGCUUGAGUCCGGGAGAGGGAUGCGGAAUUCCAGGUGUAGCGGUGAAAUGCGUAGAUAUCUGGAGAAACACCGGUGGCGAAGGCGGCAUCCUGGACCGGUAUUGACACUGAAAAGCGAAAGCCAGGGGAGCAAACGGG